rnacentral:lncRNA from 1 species
AAAAUUCUGUAUUGACCUUGAAAAAGACAAUAGUGUGAAAGCCGUCGUUGUAAAAAUUCGAGUAAACUGGAAUAUUACAGAUAAAACCCGUGAGGUAUUAAAGUAAACAUCCACAACUCUCGAAAUCCUGCAGAUAAGAUGAUUUUGAAUCAGUGAGCAGGUCCUUUCGACCAAUCCUUGGAAAACUACUAGUAUUAACAAUAUUUUGGAGAUCCGAACUCUUAGCUUGUGUACGGUCCAGAUUUCACCGAGCACUCCAGUAUAAAUGAGUCUUACAACUCCCUAACGAAAACUUAAUGACUUCAACUUAAAUUGCAUCUCGACCUAGAAUUUGGGCUGACUUAGUAAAUAAAACCGUGUGUGCUUUGAAAUUCUUAUCAUUUAUGUAUCUUAAAUUA